rnacentral:rRNA from 1 species
GUCUGUGGCCUGCCACCCUGAACAAGCCCGAUCCCAUCUGAUCUCAGAAGCUAAGCAGGGUCAGGCCUGGUUAGUACUUGGAUGGGAGACCACCUAGGAAGACCAGGUGCCAUAGGCG